rnacentral:lncRNA from 1 species
GGCAUACUCAGUUCAGGGUGUCACGUGGGUAUCAUACUAUAAAUAGCGUUUGUAUAAAUAUGUGAGGUUCUGGUGCAACCAGGAACCAGUAUAAACCAGACGUUCUAACUACUGGGCAAGCCAGGUCCAGGAAGACUCUCAGGAUGCUGGGCUAUAUUUUGGUAGCUGCUAUUCCCAUGUUGAUUUUACUAGCAGUAGCUGUUUAUGUUGUGAGUCAGACACCGUCUGGGCCACAGUCACAGCCAAACCCGUCUUCAUCCUCAAGGACCAGAACUUCAGCUCAAGAUAAUGGGAUAAGGAGGCAAGAUCAUCCAAGGCGUCGAACGCCAGCUUCCAGUCUUCGUGACAGUCACUCAUCAAAUUCUGCAGAAGAGGAGAUCUGCGCGAUCUGCUUUCAAAAUGUUCGUUUUGUCAAUCUCUACCCUUGCAGGCAUGCAGACAUCUGCAGAAGAUGUGCAGACAGAAUUUUAGCAUCUAAUAGGCGAUGCCCCUUCUGUCGUAUUCAGAUCAGCGGGUAUGAGGAGGCAGAUGUUUAGAAAGUUAUAAGUAUCAAGUUCCAGAAGGUUGCGGAUGUUGGGGAGAUAUAUAAAUAAGGUAAAAGAAUACUAAGGUUGUUAUUCUGAAGUUGACGUCCUGUUCUUGGACCAAGAUGUUGAACCACAGAUCGUACAGUGGUUUUUUUUUAAUUUUUUGUAAAAAAAUCGAUCAGUCAAUAAUCAAGAACAUAUGUAUAGUUGUCAGAAGAGUGUAUGGUCCUAAACAGAAAGAAAUUGCAUGCAAAUACUAAAAUAUAUGUCUGUCGAUGAUGUAGGGACUUGGCUUUAAAGAAGACUAGCGGAAGAAAGAUUAAAUCAGUAGAUGAAAAAUAAAAGGUCAUGGGCAAGUGUACAGUCCAGCUCAAUGCCAAGGAUGCCAUCAGAAAGUGUAGGUCCAUACAAUGGCACUAAAAUCACAAAAAGUCAAAGCAGCAAAACAAUAAUGCGGAGACUAAGCCUGAUUACCACAGAGAGGUAAUGAUUUAUAAAUAGGUCUUGGACUAAAGCAUUGUCUCUUUGCGCACACACACAUAGCACUUAAGACAGUUCCAACUGUUAGAUGCACAUUUUGCUGUCCUAUCUUUUUUUCAGAUUAUACAUGAACUACAUCCAAAUAUUACAACUGUAAUUGAAGUAUCUAGCCUUUCCUGGGGUUUGAAGAUUGAACGUGCUCAAAGUAAAUGAGUAUUAGAGAUUCUAGGAAUAUUGUGUUAUUUACUUGUGCUGCAAAAAUUGAUUGCUUUAUGUGAGAGAUUAUUCUACACUUUUAUUCUGAGAGUAUAUUAUUAUCAUAAUUAGAUGGUUCAUAUCAUUUGUUUCAGUAUUACUUUAACAAAGAUAUAAAAGAUGUAAUUUUUGUUUUCAAGAGUAAGCUGUACACUUUUGCUAAGUCUAUUCUUAGAGGAAGAUGCUGUUUCAUCAUAUUCAUUGUCAUGCAUCAAUCCUUUUAUAGUCUUUGAACGAAUAAUUGAUUUCGAAUUUUAUGUACCUAGCUUUUUUCAGCGUGGAAACCUACUUGAAAUACAAUAAGAAGUACUUAGUUGCAUCUAAUAAAAUACACA